GAUGAACGCUGGCGGCGUGCCUAAUACAUGCAAGUCGAGCGCACGGACGAGAAGCUUGUUUCUCUGAUGUUAGCGGCGGACGGGUGAGUAACACGUGGAUAACCUACCUAUAAGACUGGGAUAACUUCGGGAAACCGGUGCUAAUACCGGAUAAUAUCUUGAAACGCAUGGUUCAAAAGUGAAAGACGCACUUGCUGUCACUUAUAGAUGGAUCCCCGCUGCUUUAGCUAGUUGGUAAGGUAACGGCUUACCAAGGCAACAAUGCAUAGCCGACCUGGAGGGGUGACCGCCCACACGGGAACGUGGACACGGUCCAGACUCCUAGGGAAGGCACCGGAAGGGAAUCUUCCGCAAGGGGCGAAGGCCUGACGGAGCAACGCGGCGUGGGUGAUAAGAGUCUUCGGAUCGUAAAACUCGGUUAUUAGGGAAGAACAUAGUUGGAAGGAACUGUGCACAUCGUGACGGUACCUAAUCAGAAAGCCACGGCUAACUACGUG
rnacentral:rRNA from 1 species